GUGCUCACUUCAGCAGCACAUGUACUAAAAUUGGAACAAUACAUGAUUAGCAUGGCCACUGCAUAAGGAUAACAUGCAAAUUUGUGAAGCGUUCCAUAUUUUU